GAAGAAAGAGGGAGGCGUGCCUAAUACAUGCAAGUCGAGCGAGUCUGCCUUGAAGAUCGGAGUGCUUGCACUCUGUGAAACAAGAUACAGGCUAGCGGCGGACGGGUGAGUAACACGUGGGUAACCUGCCCAAGAGAUCGGGAUAACACCUGGAAGCAGAUGCUAAUACCGGAUAACAACAGAUGAUGCCUAUCAACUGUUUAAAAGAUGGUUCUGCUAUCACUCUUGGAUGGACCUGCGGUGCAUUAGCUAGUUGGUAGGGUAACGGCCUACCAAGGCGAUGAUGCAUAGCCGAGUUGAGAGACUGAUCGGCCACAUUGGGACUGAGACACGGCCCAAACUCCUACGGGAGGCAGCAGUAGGGAAUCUUCCACAAUGGACGCAAGUCUGAUGGAGCAACGCCGCGUGAGUGAAGAAGGGUUUCGGCCCGUAAAGCUCUGUUGUUGGUGAAGAAGGACAGGGGUAGUAACUGACCUUUGUUUGACGGUAAUCAAUUAGAAAGUCACGGCUAACUACGUG
rnacentral:rRNA from 1 species